UACAGAGGAUGCAAGCGUUAUCCGGAAUGAUUGGGCGUAAAGCGUCUGUAGGUGGCUUUUUAAGUCCGCCGUCAAAUCCCAGGGCUCAACUCUGGACAGGCGGUGGAAACUACCAAGCUGGAGUACGGUAGGGGCAGAGGGAAUUUCCGGUGGAGCGGUGAAAUGCGUAGAGAUCGGAAGGAACGCCCGUGGCGAAAGCGAGGUCCUGGACGUCUGCUGACGCUGAGACGCGAAAGCCAGGGGAGCGAACGGG
rnacentral:rRNA from 1 species